UCAAGUUACAGAUUAACAUCUGUGAACUGUCAUUUGAUCUAUCUUUUGUUGAGCUUUAUUACAUGAGGGUCCUGCAUGAAUCGAUAUCCAUAUAUCGGUCUGUUCACAUACCAUAAUUCUCUCUGCCAUGCUCUCGGUUAGGAUGUCGUCUGCCUGCAAGGACUGAAUGAGCAGCUCAUCCACCACCAGCUGCUUGCAGAGAAUAGCAGAGCGUUUCCGCAGAGCCCGUCUGUCCCGCUCCAGCAUGCCACACUCCAACAUUUUGCCCCAACAGACUGAGUAACGUUAUAGGACAGGGCAGAAUUGUGGGCCUUAUCUCUGGGAGCUGGGUGUGUUCCCCCAGCUGCAGGCAAUCAGCAUUUCACACACCUGUCUCCUAUGAUCAUCUGGGCUGGUUUAUGUACCCUGCCAUCUCCACAGUUCCCUGCUGGAUUUUUAAGUCUUUGUCUUUUGGAGACCCUGCCCUGCCCUGGAGUCGCUCAGUCACGGAGAACGCCUGGCUGGAGAUCUCUCCACAGUAGACGCUCUUCCCAUUCAGCCCUGUUACCCGCCUUACCUGCCUUUGCUCUUACCUGCCCCGCCACACCGGAGGAACCUACCUCCUGCACCAAGCCUUUCAACCAUAUCUUGUGUUCAAUAAACUGAGUAAAUAUCCUUCCGAGCUGAGUUCUUGUUUGCAUUUGGGUUCGAGCCACAAAAUCCCUGACAGUUUUAGCACUUUUAAUUAACUGAUCUGAGUACUUCUUCCACAUCUGGUUAAAAAAAAAAAAAAUACGCAUUUACAUUAAAAAAUUCACUUUUAUCAGUUUGAUUGAUAAUUACCCUGCAUACCUCUUUCACCAAUCAUACAAGCAUUAUUUGAUUAAGAUACACAGUUCCAUAGAAAUGUAAUUUGUAUCAUUUGACACCCCAUCUCUGUUAGUC